GCCUCCGUAGCUCAGUGGUUAGAGCACUGGUCUUGUAAACCAGGGGUCGGGAGUUCAAUUCUCCCCGGGGGCA
rfam:Mesocestoides corti genome assembly, scaffold: MCOS_contig0000293